rnacentral:lncRNA from 1 species
CAUGCUUCUUUUUGUUAUCUGACACACCUGAAUGUUACUUGAACCAUAUAGAGCUUGAAUUUCCUUAUCUACAAGUGCCUCCCUCAGAGAAUUUCUGAAAGUAUUAAAAGAGAUAAGAGAUGCAAAGCAGUUAGCUCAGUGUCUGUCACAUUAAAGCAAUAAGAGAGAACUAUAGCUGUUAUUAUUUUGUUUUAUUUCAGGAGACUUCUUGGAGGGGGAAGUGUAUAAGCAGAUGAGAUUAUAAAGGAGUGAUCUCGGAAAACUGAAGUAAUAUGAGAAUAGUAUAUCCUAAGUAGAGAAGGAGAAAGUCAUUCAAGAACUGGUUAAGCUUUCAGAAGAUUUGAGGAUAAUAAAACUAAAUGGGGAGGUACCACUUUUCACAAAAACUUCAACUGAAAUAACAGGCAAGUAAACAAAAAGCUGUAUUGAAAUUCAACAGGUGUUCCUCUGGGCACUUUAUCUUGUCAAGCUUUUGUAUGAUCAAAUAAGGU